GCCGGGUGUGGUGGCACACGCCUGUAAUCCCAGCACUCGAGAGGCUGAGGCAGGAGGAUUGUUGUGAGUUCAAGGCCAGCCUGGGCUACAAAGUGAGUUCAAGGCCACCCUGAACUGCAUAGUGAGACCCUGCCUCAAAAAAGACAAAAAAGGGAGACAGGGUCUCGCUAUGUAGUCCAGGGUGUCCUCGAACUCACUGUGUCAUCCAGGCUGGCCUCAAACUCAUGGCGAUCCUCCUGCCUCA
rnacentral:sRNA from 1 species